rnacentral:lncRNA from 1 species
CAGCAGAAGCAUUUCACGGGCAAUUGGAGAUAAAUACCAGCGCCGUGCAAUGAGCAGCGAGAGACAGCUGCAGGGGAGGCUCGGUGCAUUCCCAGCAGUAGAUGUGCACCAGGAGCUGUGCAAAUGCCAAGCACUUUGAGGCACAAGCUUUUCAAAAUGGAAUUUCUCAUCAGUGCCUGCUGCUUUUAAACAUGACCCUGCAGUGUUUCUGGGAAAGCAGGAAGCCAUGGAGGAGGAGCAGCUCCCUUCUGGCCUCCUUGGGGCUGGCCCAGAGCAUCCUUACAUGGACCGCACAAUCUGGCUCCUCCUUACCAAGUUAAGCACCAAGUUUUGCAGUGCCAGCUGGCUGCUGUAAUUGGCUCUCUCGUGGCGUUAUUCACAGCUCUUCCCUCUUUCUUUCCCAGCUACCUUCCAUCUUGCUUGUUAAAAGCAAAGGAUAUUUUGUAGAAUUGGAAUUCAUUAGUCUUCCUAACAGAGGGAGCCUACUUAGACCUAAAUUGGUGGUUAGCAAACGCAGAGAUAAUUCCCAUGCGUUUGUAUUUAUCUUCCCAGUUCGGCAGCGUGUCGAGACAGCUGCCUCGGCGUCUGUCGGGGAGGCUCCAGCCAGCAGAGGGGAAUACAAAGGUAUCUGCCUUCCGCAGUUGGCGAAACUCAAUAUAAGCAAAUUGGAACUCCGACUCGAUUAUCUCCCCGAUCAGAUUUCCCCAAGGCCCUAGCAAUAACUUGAUAUUCUCAGGCAAGACUAGUCUUUUAUGUGCAGGAAACAGGAGGCAAAAAGAUCACAACAGAAGUCGGAGAUGGGCCGGGAGCUGCACGGCUCAUCGCUCGGCGUGGGCACCAACCGGAGCCACAAUAACAGCCCCUGCCUUUGGGAUGGCGUUGGUUCAGCCACCCGCACUGCGAGGCAGCCGGAGAAACGAGGAGCUGCAAUUGCAUGUGACACGUUCCUGAGUGUUCCUCCACAGAUGCAAAAAAGGAAUUUUGCUUCAGCCCCGGGGGAGCUGAGCCCAGCCAGGUCAUUGGGCCGAAUCAAAUUGCCAAUGUGCGGCGCUGAAAUCUCAUCUGUGAUGUCCUGCGUGUGCAGCCGGGGCCGGGGCUGCUGACAGCCUUUGUGAUGAGCUGCUCCACAUCUGAAAUCCAGCAGGAAACUGUAAAUGAGAUCUCAUCUCGCAUCGGCACCCGCGGCACAGCCUCGUCCCAAGCAGAAGUCAUACAAAUGAGGAUUUAUCAGAGCGCUCUGAGCCCUGCGUGAUGGCUUGUGUGCUUCUCACCUGCACUGGGCUCCCCUGCCCCGAUGUGGUGCCUUCUGCCUCCUUGCUGAGCCUCCUGGUGCCACUGCUUUGGAUGGUGGUGAUUGGGGAGGAGAAGCGUUUCCUCCUCAAAACAGACUCACAGAGUCAUCGUGCCUUACAGAUCCUCAUCCUUCCCACGUCUUUGAGGGGAGAAUCCCCAUGCUGCAAACUAAAAGUGCUUGGGCUCCAUGCUGAGCAAAGGGAUGCGGUGCUGUGCAUGGGAUUGCAGCAACUCUGUGUGAGUGAUUUGCAGAUCACAGAACAGUUCUGUGCAAGGACAGAGGAUUUCUGAGCCUGUUUCCCACACUGCUGCCUGCCCUGCACUUGGUGCUUCGGUGUGCACUGGGACCUUCACACCUGGGACUCCCUGCAGAGGGCUCCAGCACUGCAGCUCUGUCCCUGUGUUCCCAAGGGUGUGCAUUCACCCUUUCUCAUGUGAUGUGCACUGCUGCAUGCAUCUUGCAACAGAGGGCCUGUGUGAUGUGCAUUGCAUGCACCUUGCAACAGAGGGCCUGUGUGAUGUGCAUUGCAUGCACCUUGCAACAGAGGGCCUGUGUGAUGUGCAUCGCAUGCACCUUGCAACAGAGGGCCUGUGUGAUGUGCAUUGCAUGCAGCUGACUCUGCAGCGCUCAUGUUGUGUGCAUUGCAUGCACCUUGCUCUGAAAGGCUCACAUGAUGUGCAUUGCAUGCUCCUUGCACCGGCCGUCCUCACAUGAUGUGCACCGCAUGCACUUUGCUCCAGAGAGGUGAGCACGUCCCUGCGUACACCUUGCAUUGAGACAUCUGCUGUUUUUAUUAAAGCAACGAAAAGAUCUCAGCUGCAUUUGCAGAAGGGGUUUCCAGAAAGCCGCGCUCGAGCCACGAAACAGCAAGCAGAAAGAAACUUUUAAUGAAACCCACGAAAGCACGACCCCUCCGUGCAAAACCCCGCACCCUUUCACUGCCGGAUCACCGCCGCGGUCGCCGCGCGCACGGAGCAGCCGCGC